GGGAAGUGUACAGGGAUAAGAGUCCAGUCAGGAAUUGGGGCGGAAAAUUAAACUUGCGCAGGACCUCCGACAUAUAGCCCCAGUGGAGCCUGUCGAAGGCUUUCUCCGCAUCUAGGGCAACUAUAAGGCCUUGUAACCGGUCAGAGUCCAUGAGUUCCAUUAUGUCCAGGGCCCGUCUGGUGUUGUCCUCGACCUGGCGGCCCGGGACAAAGCCCGACUGCUCAGGUGAGACGAGUUGGCUUAGGAGGGGUCGGAUACGGUUUGCUAGGACCUUGGCGAAUAGUUUGGUGUCGGCAUUGAGGAGCGAGAUCGGGCGGUAGUUUGCACAUAGGUCUGUGGGUUUACCUGGUUUGGGAAUUGUGACAAUUGUGGCUUCCAACAUCUCUGGGGGUAUGUUACCCGUGACUAGUAUGUGGUUAAAUAAUGCCGUGAGGUGGGGGAGUAGUUGGUCCUCAAACACCUUAUAAUAGUGUACGGAGUAGCCGUCCGGUCCUGGGGCUUUAUGUCUCGGGGUGUCUCGUAGUGCCCUAGUGAUCUCGGCUGGUAGGAUCGGGGUGGUCAGCGUUGCGGCCUGCGCGGUGGAGAGCUGGGGGAGAUGUAUACCCUCCAGGAAGGUGGCGAUGUUCUGAGGGGUGGGCUGGUGUUGGGUGGAAUCCCCGGAGAGAUUGUAUAAUUUUGCGUAAAAAGUAGCAAAUUCGUCUACAAUCGCUUUGGGGUUCAUGAUUUUGGUUCCAUGUUCAUCCUUGAUAUAGGGGAUUUUUACCUGGGAGAUUCUCGCCUUAAGCUGAGAGGCCAGCAGUUUACCAGCC